rnacentral:rRNA from 1 species
AUACGGAGGACGCGAGCGUUAUCCGGAUUUACUGGGCGUAAAGGGCGUGUAGGCGGUCUUGCAAGUCAGAAGUGAAAUUCCUGAGCUCAACUCGGGCGCUGCUUCUGAAACUACAGGACUUGAGUGCUGGAGGGGAUAGCGGAAUUUCUAGUGGAGCGGUAAAAUGCGCAGAUAUUAGGAAGAACGCCGAUAGCGGAGGCAGCUCGCCAGGCCUGCAUUGACGCUCGGGCACGAAAGCGUGGGGAUCGAACAGGAUUAGAUACCCUGGUAGUCCACGCCGUAAACGAUGGGCGCUCGUCGUCGGCGGCAGACAGUCGGCGGCCAAGCGAAAGCGAUAAGCGCCCCACCUGGGGAGUACGGUCGCAAGGCUGAAACUCAAAUGAAUGGACGGGG